AUUGAACGCUGGCGGCAUGCCUAACACAUGCAAGUCGAACGGCAGCACAAUAAAGAUUUCGGUCUUUAUGGGUGGCGAGUGGCGGACGGGUGAGUAACGCGUAGGAAUCUGUCCUGGAGAGUGGGAUAACCCGAGGAAACUCGGGCUAAUACUGCAUGACAUUGAGAGAUCAAAAGCAGGGGACCGAAAGGCCUUGCGCUAUGGGGUGAGCCUACGUCGGAUUAGCGAGUUGGUGGGGUAAAGGCCUACCAAGGCGACGAUCCGUAGCUGGUCUGAGAGGAUGACCAGCCACACUGGGACUGAGACACGGCCCAGACUGCUACGUGAGGCAGCUGUGGGGAAUCUUGGACAAUGGGGGAAACCCUGAUCCAGCGAUGCCGCGUGUGUGAAGAAGGCCUUCGGGUUGUAAAGCACUUUAGGUGGGGAAGAAAGGUAGCGAGUGAAUAACUUUCUGCUGUGACGGUACCCACAGAAUAAGCACCGGCUAACUCUGUGCCAGCCGCCGCGGUAA
rnacentral:rRNA from 1 species